rnacentral:antisense_RNA from 4 species
CUUGAUCGAGCCGAGCAGCAACGGCCGGUCGGCGGGGCGGUCCCGCCCGUACGUGGCCAGCAGGGCCUGCGCCUC